GAUGAACGCUGGCGGCGUGCCUAAUACAUGCAAGUCGAGCGAACAGACGAGGAGCUUGCCUCUUUGACGUUUGCGGAGGACGGGUGAGUAACACGUGGAUAACCCACCUAUAAGACUGGGAUAACUUCGGGACACCGGAGAUUAUACCGGAUAAUAUAUUGAACCGCAUGGUUCAAUAGUGAAAGACGGUUUUGAUGUCACUUAUAGAUGGAUACGCGCCGCAUUAGCUAGUUGGGAAGGUAAAGGCUUACCAAGGGAACGAUGCGUAGCCGACCUGAGAGGGUGAUCGGCCACACGGGAACGUAGACGCGGUCCAGGCGCCUACGGGACGCAGCAGUAUGGAAUCGUCCGCAAUAGGCGAAAACUUGACGGAGCAACGCCGCGUGAGUUAUAAAAGUCUUCGGAUCGUAAAACUCUGUUAUUAGUGAAAAACAAAUGUUUAAGUAACUAUACACGUCUUGACGGUACCUAAUCAGAAAGCCACGGCUAACUACGUG
rnacentral:rRNA from 1 species